rnacentral:tRNA from 1 species
AUUUAUGUAGUAUAAAAAUUAUUUUUAACUUCCAAUUAAAAGAUCUAAUCAAUAGCAUAAAUA